rnacentral:rRNA from 1 species
GGAUGAACGCUAGCGGCAAGCUUAAUACAUGCAAGUCGUGGGGCAGCAUGAAGUAGCAAUACUUUGAUGGCGACCGGCAAACGGGUGCGGAACACGUACACAACCUUCCGAUAAGUGGGGAAUAGCCCAGAGAAAUUUGGAUUAAUACCCCGUAACAUUGCGAUGUGGCAUCACAUUGCAAUUAUAGCUUCGGCGCUUAUUGAUGGGUGUGCGUAUGAUUAGAUAGUUGGCGGGGUAACGGCCCACCAAGUCUACGAUCAUUAGCUGAUGUGAGAGCAUGAUCAGCCACACGGGCACUGAGACACGGGCCCGACUCCUACGGGAGGCAGCAGUAAGGAAUAUUGGUCAAUGGACGAAAGUCUGAACCAGCUAUGCCGCGUGAAGGAUUAAGGUCCUCUGGAUUGUAAACUUCUUUUAUAUGGGACGAAAAAAGGUCUUUCUAGAUCACUUGACGGUACCAUAUGAAUAAGCACCGGCUAACUCCGUGCCAGCAGCCGCGGUAAUACGGAGGGUGCAAGCGUUAUCCGGAUUCACUGGGUUUAAAGGGUGCGUAGGCGGGCAGGUAAGUCAGUGGUGAAAUCCUGGAGCUCAACUCCAGAACUGCCAUUGAUACUAUCUGUCUUGAAUAUUGUGGAGGUAAGCGGAAUAUGUCAUGUA